UACAGGGGGGGCAAGCGUUGUUCGGAAUUACUGGGCGUAAAGGGUUUGUAGGUGGCUUGCUAAGUCAGACGUGAAAUCCCUCAGCUUAACUGGGGAACUGCGUCUGAUACUGGCGAGCUUGAGUGCAGGAGAGGAACGCGGAAUUCCAGGUGUAGCGGUGAAAUGCGUAGAGAUCAGGAAGAACACCCGUGGCGCAAGCGACCACCUGGCCGAGACCUGACGCUGAGGCACGAGAGCGUGGGGAGCGAACCGG
rnacentral:rRNA from 1 species